rnacentral:rRNA from 1 species
GACGAACGCUGGCGGCGUGCCUAAUACAUGCAAGUAGAACGCACAGUUUAUACCGUAGCUUGCUACACCAUAGACUGUGAGUUGCGAACGGGUGAGUAACGCGUAGGUAACCUGCCUGGUAGCGGGGGAUAACUAUUGGAAACGAUAGCUAAUACCGCAUAAUAUUAAUUAUUGCAUGAUAAUUGAUUGAAAGGUGCAAAUGCAUCACUACCAGAUGGACCUGCGUUGUAUUAGCUAGUAGGUGAGGUAACGGCUCACCUAGGCGACGAUACAUAGCCGACCUGAGAGGGUGAUCGGCCACACUGGGACUGAGACACGGCCCAGACUCCUACGGGAGGCAGCAGUAGGGAAUCUUCGGCAAUGGACGAAAGUCUGACCGAGCAACGCCGCGUGAGUGAAGAAGGUUUUCGGAUCGUAAAGCUCUGUUGUAAGAGAAGAACGGGUGUGAGAGUGGAAAGUUCACACUGUGACGGUAUCUUACCAGAAAGGGACGGCUAACUACGUGCCAGCAGCCGCGGUAAUACGUAGGUCCCGAGCGUUGUCCGGAUUUAUUGGGCGUAAAGCGAGCGCAGGCGGUUAGAUAAGUCUGAAGUUAAAGGCUGUGGCUUAACCAUAGUACGCUUUGGAAACUGUUUAACUUGAGUGCAGAAGGGGAGAGUGGAAUUCCAUGUGUAGCGGUGAAAUGCGUAGAUAUAUGGAGGAACACCGGUGGCGAAAGCGGCUCUCUGGUCUGUAACUGACGCUGAGGCUCGAAAGCGUGGGAGCGAACAGG